UUGGUAACGAGAAGGAAGCAGAGAACUGUCGCAAAGCAGACCCAAACCUCCUUCAUGCUUUGGACCAGUGUGCGGAGGGGAGGUCCUUCACAAAUUGGAAGUCCAAAAUGCCGCCUGAGUUGAUGGACAAGUUGGAUGGUAAAAGGAAGGCCUACCCAGAAAACACAUUGGGUUUGUUGCGCUUCAUACGCAACCUUCAUGAGCACUACACUGAGGACGCAGAUUCUGUUGACAUGAUGACAAUGUUCCCUGAUCUCUUUGGAUGCGUCUACAAGUUUGCGAAGAAAAUGGAGUGGAAUUCAAGGAGUAGUCUGAAGAAAAUGUUUUACAGAGAAGAUGUAAGAUAAUGAUUCUGACAUUUGGAAGAUUAACACUGACUAACUUCUGAAAUCUUGGUUUGACUUUUCUGUUGCCAUUUAAAUGACUCACUAGUGUAAGUGUUAGAUGAUUGAUAAACUGUAAACUGAAUGUUCUUUCAAGGAAUUCAAGAGGCUACGCAGCCCUUUGCCUCUGAUUGCCUACUUGGUGUUUUGGCCAUUUUCUUACAUCAU